UUCACCUUCCGCACCUGCGUCCAUGUGUUCUACCCCCCGCAAGACUGCUUGAGAUGCUCGCUGCUGCAAGCAACCAUGGCCGGAUUCAUCUGCUUGGGCGGAGGCCAUGGGCGGAUUCAACCUGUCCAUGGAUGGAUUCAUCUGCUUGGGAGGAGGGGAUUCUUUUGCGCCAUGGGUGAGCUGCUAGCGGCGUCAACAGGGACAGCGGCGGCGGUGGUGGGCGGUGACUGCGGGGAGGAUAGUUUUGGGCGGCGACGGCGAUGGCCUCCAGGAUUUUUUGCUGCAUAGAAUUUUUGCUGGAACCAGCAUUUGACUUUGCUACAACCGAGGAGGAUGGCGCUGGGACGGCGAUGGCCGGCAUGAUUUUUUUGCUGCAUUGAUAUUUCAAUUUUGCUGGAAACCUUUUCAAUUUUGCUGGAACCGUAUCACAAUUUUGUUGAAACCAUGUUUAGUUUUUGCUGGAUCAUAACAUUGUUUACUAGAAACAAUUUAUAGUUUUUGCUGGAACCAUAUCGCUUUUCUGCUGGAACCAUAUUGUUUUUUGCUGGAACCAUGUUUUUUUUGUUUCAAACCGGCGACAUCCUGCUCUCCGUGUUUUUUUGCUGGAACCACCUCUCUGUUUUGCCGGAAUUGGGGUCGAAGGGUGCUGGGACUGGUGAACUCAUGGUGGUGGAUCGCGAUGUCGCAUGCAGUUGACCGGCGAUAACUAUUUUUUGCAACUUGUGUUGUGUUUGUUUGCUGGAACCAGCGGAUCCAAUUGCUGGAGUCGGUGAAGCAUUUUGCUGCAACGGCGAAAUCGAUGGUGCCGGACUGCGUCGUCAUUUUUGCUGGAAUGAAGCUGUCGACGACGAGGUGGAGAGCAAGACUCCGGCAGCUGUGCGGGUGGGGGGCAGGGAUGCGAGGGAUUUUGGCGAUCUGGUGGGCCGCAUCUUUUUUUUUCUCUCGUGCGUGUUUGGAUGCGAGAUGUGGGGGACAAAACACUCCUGAUCUGACGGUUGGCAGUUAGCGUAGCGGACGCACGGGAUGCGACCGGCCGAAACUUUCGGCCGGCGCGCCGGCGCCUAUAAGCUCUAGGUGAUGGUUAGUAGUUUGUGGGUGGAGGCGGCCCAUAGUUAUUUGGAGGCCUGUCCACUCCCGGAUACCCAGCCCAGCCCAGCGCCGCCGACGCCCUUCCGCGGACAGAGCACGAGACGGCGGAGCGGGGUCCUCCUCCUCGUCGGCGGCGGUUUCCUCUCCGGCGGUGACCUCCUCCUACCCCCACUUCCCACUUCCUUCGGAGUUUGAUGGAAGAUCUCGGAGCGUCUCGUCCUCGCCGGCAACCAUACGGCGCUCCUCGCACUGACGCUGCCCAAACGGAGGGCCCAGAUCUCCCGGAGGUGCCUUGAAUUUCAAGUGCAUUGCAUAUCCAUCAUUUUACCUGCUGUGUAUUGGGAUCUAGCAGCUAGCUGUUGGGCUGUAUAGUAUCUGCUGAUUGCAUUUUGCACUGUGUGUUUACUCAUUUGUAGCACAUCAUAUCUUGGUUAGCAAAUGCUUGUUGACUAUGCCUAAAUUAAGUAGGAACGGUCCCUUCGGGGACAUCCGAUAAAUUAAGUAGGAACGUACUAGGUGGCGGUGCUCAACAUACAGCACAUUCCAAUGCAGGCUGCAUCUUUGUAACAUUGUGCGCUUUGUGCGAUCACACGCGUGUAUCUUACAGUGCCGAUUCUGAACUUUUCUCGGGCGCUUUUGUGUGCAGGACGUCUGGCACUAUAUACAUUCCUUGAUACCGCUGAGAGAUGCUGCCCGAGCCACCUGCGUAUCUCGGUCCUUUAUGUGUUCCUGGAGAUGCCAUCUCAACCUCAUUUGGAGUAGGGACACUUUGGGCUUGGAGGCAGAUGUGUUUGAAAAGAUAACAGCUAGAGAUUUCAGAACCAGAAUCGACCACAUUCUGAGCAAACCAUUCGGGCACCGGGUGAGGAAACUCAGCCUUUUGGUUGGUUCCAAAUUACAAUACGAAGGACCAUCAUUAUAUCAUCGAAUGGAUUCAGAAAGCAGUUACACCAGGGAUUGAAGAACUCGCCCUUUGUCUGCCUACAAUUAAUCUGGCAUCAUUGUGCCUAUGGUCAAUUCACCAAUGGUAUCUAGGAAACUUGCUGACCUGAAAUCUGUGAACCUCUCUUGGAGAAUUCCCCUUUGGUCGGGGCUUUUACUGCUCUUCUCUGGUUUCUAUCUUUCGUGCUUCCUCAUGCUGGAACCGUUAACUGAAUGAAGGUUGUCUUUUCAUCUCUAGGUAUCCAAUGACCUCAUGCUGCAUGUCUUAGUUUUGGGAGAUCCCUGGAUUUCCAGAACCAGUGGUCUCUUAUCACCAGCGAAUAAGAUGCUGGUCGAGCUAACAUGCCAUAUCCUCAGGGCCUGGUCUCAUGCCAUAUUCUUGGAGUGCAACGUCAUAAUGUUAGCCCAGAACUACUCGCUAGCACUCGAGUAUACUGAUAGAUGACCGGUGGAAGAGCAAAGUGAUGGUACGCUCAGGCUCUCUAGGCUAGUACGCACACACACACUAGUGAAGCAUGCACCGAUGGAGCUACACUUGAGAAAAGAUACUACUUGAAUUGAUCGGAGUGGAAUAAGUUACAUCGAUGGAGCACAGCUCCUUAUAUAGUGGUCACGAACCGACCUAAGCAAAAUAUCUGCUAGAUAUGAAGUAAGCACUUGCGUCACAUACUAGCUUAUCUAGUAAGCUUCGUUUCUACUACUACUGCCUUAACUAGUAAGGAAUGCAAAAGCUGUUGCUGCCGACCUGCAACUUCUAGCCAUGCAUGCAUCGGAGACAGGGUUGGGCCUACACAUAACAGGGGCAGAGUAAUGCCAAAUGCUUGAAAUGGACAUGCAUAGAGAACACUCUACAGCCGAAAAAUAAACUAAGGCCAAGCCCGCUUUCCUCAAUUUUGGUCGAUCAUGCUUUUGAAGAUUGAACACUAGAUGCCAUUGUCAAGCAGUAUGGUGGUUAAAGGUACUCUUAGCUUGUUAUUCGUUCAUUUCAUAUUUAUUUAUUUUGACCUCCAUGCUAAAAUGAAGUUAGGGUGGUCUCCAGAACAAGGAAAAUGUCGCAGAAAAUGUAAUCCUAUUUCAGAAUGCCCUAGUUUCAUGGUAAAUGACAUAUAUUAGCUGUAAAGGCGAACAAUAAAACAACUUUUCUGUACUGUGUAUUCAGGAACUGGCAGACAAUUGCCUAUGUAAAACCUCAUUCGCUUCUAGGAGUAGGAAAUCCUGAAAAUCUGUAUCAUAAAUCAAGACAGGGAAUCAUGGACGCAUAUGCCACACUGGCACAAAUCCAAAGAGCUCUAUCAUCAUAAAUCGUGUACACCUAUUCUCACAAAGAAGUUCAAUAACUAGCAGGAAAGGGAGCAUUGUACCCUUUCUUUUAUUUUUAGCUUUAUCUCUCAAUCCUGCAACCGGCUAGCUACAAGCAAAGGAUUGAUUUGUUGCUUUACCAAAGGAAAAGGUGUAAGGCGCUAGCAGGAGAGGAAUACUUGCAACUUUUCUUUGUCUCCUUUGAAGGCUUUUAUCUUCAAAUCCUGCAGCUACAAGCAAAGGAUUGAUUCGUGGCUUUACUAAAAGAAAAAGAAAAAGGUGUAAGGAAUAACACCGCCUUGCUUGUCUAAGGCAUUUCUACAUACACUACACUUCCUAAGUUUUGCUCUCUGUCCAGCUUGUAGUCGCUCCUCAACCACAUUUGGCUUCUAUCUGGCUACUCUCUGGAUGGUACCAAUUAUUCAACUGAAGCAAGGUACAUAACUAUUUCACCUGUACUCAAUCUACCUGCCUGCUUCAGAUUUAUACUACGAAGCACCGAUAUGCCAGAAACUGGAGUAUCGGCGUACUAAACGUUUCUGAUAUGGGGAUACGCACGAUACGGCUAGGAUACGGUUAUCGGCGAAGUAUCCUAUUUUCUGAUUUAAAAAGAAAAGAAAAAACGUCGAUACGUCCUGUGCAUCGUCUACGAUACGGGAGCGACAUGGCAGCCCACUGGAAGGCCCAUGGCUAACCCUAGCAUCUGGGCCCCCUCUCUUUUGUUUUAUUCGCACGACAGGAGCUUGCACGAGGGAGCCGUCGCCGCUGGACAAGCCUCCCCGCCGGCCGCAGCCGCAGACUGGAGUCACUCGCCGCCUAGAGUGGCUCACCGGCGCCGCUGGAAUUGCCUCGCUGCCGCCUCAACUCGCCCCCACCGGCUGGAAUCGCCUCUCCGCUUGAAUCUUCUGCUCUUCUCCACCGCCGUCGCAACUCACAAGAAACAGAUCGACAAGAAAUUUAUCUGCUGGAGCUUGCAAACAAGAUUGACAAUUGAUGAGUGUAAGCCCAAAAUGAAAUAAAUGUAGUGGCUGGAGAUCCACAGAUCUGACAGUUAAUCAUGCGAACUGAGGUUAUAAAGGCGGACACCAUUGAUGCAGCUGCUGAACGAAUUCUUGAUGAACUCAAAAACACUAGAAGCAGAGAGAAUGCUAUCUACUUUGAUGGCUGGGAUGGCCUGGGGGCAUCUGCCGUCCUGCGAGCCGUGGCCCAGCGGCUGGCACCAAAGGAACAAACAAGGCCCCCCAGGACUGGAGUUUGAGCAAGUCAUCCACAUUGACUCCUCAAAGUGGGAGAGCAGAAGAGCGGUGCAGAGGGAAAUCUCAGAGCAGCUGAAGCUUCCCGGUUGGGUGAGGAAGAUGUUUGACAAGCAAGAUGAGGAUGAUGAUUUCAGCGGUAUGGAUCAAGGCUCUCGCACUGAGAUAGCAGAAGUCACGGCUGAGAUCCAUAGGAGCAUGCAGAGCCGCAGGUUUCUUCUGGUUCUUCACAACGGAAGCAGCGAGGAGAUUGACACAUUUAACCUCGGUCUUUCCCUAUAUGGAUACUUGAGUAGCAAGAUGCUUUGGACCUUCCAAGGGAGGUUUCGGCUCGACCCCAAGCUGCGAGACAAGGUUGUGGCAAAGAACACAACUGAUGUUCUUCUCUCAGCUUCGCGCUCUAAGCGAGACCCACAAGAUCUCUGGUCCUAUCUACUUCUUGAAGAAGCUAAGGACGUCUCCUGCAAGCAUGGCCUGGAUCCUGCAACUGUUGCUGAGUGCUACUCGUACAUGUUGGAGCGGAGUUACAUGAGCCAAAAUAUCAUUGACUAUGAGUGGACUCUCCAUGCGAGUAAAUGGCACUGACAGUCAUAUAACUUGUGCGGUGGGUGCACUUUAGUCACACUACUCACAAUCCGGAAAUACUGGUCACAGAACUUGUGCUU